rnacentral:rRNA from 1 species
CAGUCGCCGCGGUAAUACGUAGGUGGCAUGCGUUGUCCGGAAUUAUUGGGCGUAAAGGGCUCGCAGGCGGUUUCUUAAGUCUGAUGUGAAAGCCCCCGGCUCAACCGGGGAGGGUCAUUGGAAACUGGGAAACUUGAGUGCAGAAGAGGAGAGUGGAAUUCCACGUGUAGCGGUGAAAUGCGUAUAGAUGUGGAGGAACACCAGUGGCGAAGGCGACUCUCUGGUCUGUAACUGACGCUGAGGAGCGAAAGCGUGGGGAGCGAACAGGAUUAGAGACCCCUGUAGUCCCUGUCUCUUAUAC